CCUCGGAGGCUUCUCUAGGGGCUCAUGGCUCUGCAACCCGCUCAGCUGCUGGGCUGUGCGGGUCCCAGGGGUCGCCAGGGGGCACAUCACCGUCAGGGGAAACGUGGCGCGGAGCCCGUCAUGGGUGAAUCCGCCGCCGCAACUGCAUCCCUUUCCCAAAGGCGGCGGCGGGGGCGAGGUGGUCGGGUCACUUUUCCCAGAGGCCUAAAGGGCAGCGCGCGUUUUCUCUCUGGGCCGCCCUUCCCCUCCCCCCACCUCCCGCCAGCACCCCCGUUCCCCGCGGCCCCCGGCCCCUGGUUGCGCAGACCCCUCUUCAGUCUGAAGCUGUCUGACACAGAGGACGUCUUUCCGCGCCGCGCGGGGCCGCUCGAGGUCCCGGCCGACAGCCGCGUGUUCGUGCAGGCGGCCUUGGCCCGUCCCUCCCCGCGCUGGGGCCUGGCCCUGCACCGCUGCUCAGUGACGCCGUCCUCACGCCCGGCCCCGGGGCCCGCCCUGGCUCUGCUGCACGAGGGCUGCCCCGCCGACACCUCUGUCGCCUUCCCGCCACCGCCGCCUCCGAGCCCGGGUGCCACCCGCCCCGCGCGCUUCAGCUUCCGCCUGCGCCCGGUCUUCAACGCCUCGGUGCAGUUCCUGCACUGCCAGCUGAGCCGCUGCCGCCGCCUCCGGGGAGUCCGCCGGGCGCCUGCGCCUCUGACGCCGCCGCCGCCGCCAUCGCGGGUGCGCGGGCGCAGAGCUUGGAAUCCGAGCGCCGGGGUCCUUCGGGGACUGGGCACGAGCGACUCUGGCAGUGGAAAGGGGAUACUCUCGGGGUCCGAGGAUCUGGAGUGUCUGCCUCAGGACGAGGCGUGCGCCGGCACUGGCAGUGGCAGCGCCGAGGGUCUGGCUGCCGACGGCCCCCACCUGCACACGCUGACGCAGCCUAUCGUGGUCACUGUGCCGCGGCCGCCCCCCAGGCCGCCCAAGAGUGUCCCCGGCCGCGCCGUGCGCCCUGAGCCUCCCGCGCCGGCCCCUGCGGCCCUGGAACCCGCGCCGGUGGUGGCGCUGGUGUUGGCAGCCUUCGUGCUGGGCGCCGCACUGGCCGCCGGGCUGGGCCUCGUCUGUGCGCACUCAGGUACCGACCUCCGCCAAGCCGGGCCCCCAGUCUAAUCCCGCGCGUCGGGACCCGGGGCGACGCGAUCCCGCCUGUGGGGCCUGAUCAGCCCUAGCUAGGCCUGCCUCCGCGAUGCCCGCAGCAGCCCCCAGAGGCCGCCCUUAGCCUGGCGUGGCGCGCAGCAGCCCUUCUGCAGCUCUCCUCUACUUCCAGCGCCCCCGGCUCCCGGGCCGCCCGCGAGAGCCUCGCCCAGCGGUCCCCAGCCCAGGAGGCCCCAGUGAGGAAGACCGAUGGAAGAGGCCAGUGGUCUGCUGGGAAGGGAGGUGGCCCCUCCCUUGCUGAGCCUCAGCCACCCCUCCCAG